CAUUAAUAAAUUUCACGGACUAAAAUUGCUAAUUUCACGAUUAUAUUUUUAUUUAACUUUAUGUCUAUUAAUACAACGAAUUUUUAAUAUUUUUGUAAUUUUGUAUUUUAAAGGAAACUUUCAGAUUUCAUGCUUUCAUUUAGUUUCAAUUAAAUGAUUUAAAGACCAGCUGCUACACUUAUCCUCCUUUCCUUGGAAUAACACAUCACCCCACCCUAUCCUCCUCCCCUUGGAAUAACACAUCACCCCACCCUAUCCUCCUCC
rnacentral:misc_RNA from 1 species